rnacentral:rRNA from 1 species
UACGUAGGGUGCGAGCGUUGUCCGGAAUUAUUGGGCGUAAAGGGCUCGUAGGCGGUUUGUCGCGUCGGGAGUGAAAUCCACUGGCUUAACUGGUGGCUUGCUUCGAUACGGGCAGACUGGAGGUAUGCAGGGGAGAACGGAAUUCCUGGUGUAGCGGUGAAAUGCGUAGAUAUCUGGAGGAACACCGGUGGCGAAGGCGGCAUCCUGGACCGACACUGACGCUGAGGAGCGAAAGCCAGGG